rnacentral:lncRNA from 1 species
ACUGGCCCGUGACGCAGGCGCGGUUGGAAAGAAGCUGAGGACUGGAUGUGCGGAAACCAGCUGGAAGAAGAAGAGAGCCCAGAGAGGAAGAUAAGAGUUGGUAGUAACUGGAAAUGAGAAGUCUUCGGUGAAACCCUAUUGACCUUCAGUGUGAGAGAAAGGAUACACCAGAAGUUGAGUAAUGACCCUGGCCUUCCCCUAAACUCUAGUUCUUACUAGAAAUUUGUGGAUUCCCUGGAAAUGCAAAAAUAGUGUAGAGGGAGGUAGCGUACCCAUAUUUAACUAGUGGACACAGC